CUUGAGAAUGCCAGGCUGUCAUCAGAGAUGAACACUUCCACUGUCAACAGUGCCAGGGAGGAAUUGAUGGAGAGCCGGAUGAGGAUCGAGAGCCUUUCCUCUCAGCUUUCUAACCUGCAGAAAGAGUCUAGAGCAUGCUUGGAAAGGAUUCAAGAAUUGGAGGACAUGCUUGCUAAAGAGAGAGACAACUCACGCCGCAUGCUGUCUGACAAAGAGAGAGAGAUGGCGGAAAUAAGGGACCAGAUGCAGCAGCAGCUGAAUGAUUACGAACAGCUGCUUGACGUGAAGCUGGCCCUGGACAUGGAGAUCAGCGCCUACAGGAAACUCUUGGAAGGCGAAGAAGAGCGGUAAGGGUCUCGGGUGUCCCCAGGCUGGACAGGCUGGCUUUUGUUUUCAUGUUACCCCCUCCCCCAUCUUUCCCUGUUUUAUAUCCAGUAUUUUAGGACUGCUCUAAGUUAACCUUUCCUUGUGUCUUAGAGGUAUUCGCCUCCGAGUAGGACAUUUAUAAAUGGUUCACGGUAAAGAACAACCCAGGUAGGAUUUGUAUGAACAAGGAGCUCAAGCAUUUGCAAGUGUGUCUGAGAAACCCUGUGCAUUCUCCAACAUGGAGAACUAUUCCUUCAGUGCACAUUUUCAAAUGUUUUAAAUGGAAGGAAAUUACACAUUAAACGCUCAUCUCUAUGGAAAAUGAAAUAUUCCUUUUAAA
rnacentral:lncRNA from 1 species